rnacentral:rRNA from 1 species
AACGAACGCUGGCGGCAUGCCUAACACAUGCAAGUCGAACGAGACCUUCGGGUCUAGUGGCGCACGGGUGCGUAACGCGUAGGAACCUGCCCUUAGGUUCGGAAUAACUCCCCGAAAGGGGUGCUAAUACCGGAUAAUGUCUUCGGACCAAAGAUUUAUCGCCUUUGGAUGGGCCCGCGUUGGAUUAGCUAGUUGGUAGGGUAAAAGCCUACCAAGGCGACGAUCCAUAGCUGGUCUGAGAGGAUGAUCAGCCACACUGGGACUGAGACACGGCCCAGACUCCUACGGGGGGCAGCAGUGGGGAAUAUUGGACAAUGGGCGAAAGCCUGAUCCAGCAAUGCCGCGUGAGUGAUGAAGGCCUUAGGGUUGUAAAGCUCUUUUACCCGGGAUGAUAAUGACAGUACCGGGAGAAUAAGCUCCGGCUAACUCCGUG